GCAAACUUGGUCAUUUAGAGGAAGUAAAAGUCGUAACAAGGUCUCCGUUGGUGAACCAGCGGAGGGAUCAUUAAAGAGUUGCAAAACUCCCAAACCAUAUGUUUACCUACCUGUUUCGUUGCUUCGGCAGGCGGCCCCUACGGGCCUUCGCCUCCUGUAGGUGCCUGCCGAAGUAUCCUAAACUCUUGUUAAUUACUGUUUCUUCUGAGUAAAACUAUAAUAAGUUAAAACUUUCAACAACGGAUCUCUUGGUUCUGGCAUCGAUGAAGAACGCAGC
rnacentral:misc_RNA from 1 species